rnacentral:rRNA from 1 species
GGCGUAAAGCGUGCGCAGGCGGUUUUGUAAGACUGUCGUGAAAUCCCCGGGCUUAACCUGGGAAUGGCGAUGGUGACUGCAAGGCUAGAGUUUGGCAGAGGGGGGUAGAAUUCCACGUGUAGCAGUGAAAUGCGUAGAGAUGUGGAGGAACACCGAUGGCGAAGGCAGCCCCCUGGGUCAAAACUGACGCUCAUGUACGAAAGCGUGGGGAGCAAACAGGAUUAGAUACCCUGGUAGUCCACGCCCUAAACGAUGUCUACUAGUUGUCGGGUCUUAAUUGACUUGGUAACGCAGCUAACGCGUGAAGUAGACCGCCUGGGGAGUACGGUCGCAAGAUUAAAACUCAAAGGAAUUGACGGGGACCCGCACAAGCGGUGGAUGAUGUGGAUUAAUUCGAUGCAACGCGAAAAACCUUACCUACCCUCGACAUGGAAGGAAUCCCCGAGAGAUUGGGGAGUGCCCGAAAGGGAACCUUUACAAGGUGCUGCAUGGUUGUCGUCAGCUCGUGCCGUGAGGUGUCAGGUUAAGUCCUAUAACGAGCGCAACCCCUGUUGUUAGUUGCCAGCGAGUCAUGUCGGGAACUCUAACGAGACUGCCAGUGCAAACUGAGAGGAAGGUGGGGAUGACGUCAAAUCAUCACGGCCCUUACGCCUUGGGCUACACACGUGCUACAAUGGCCGGUACAGAGAGCAGCCACUGGGUGACCAGGAGCGAAUCUAUAAAACCGGUCACAGUUCGGAUCGGAGUCUGCAACUCGACUCCGUGAAGCUGG